rfam:Blautia sp. CAG:237 genomic scaffold, scf109
UGAUAGCUAUGAAGCGCGAGGUUGCUGCCAGUUACCGGCAGGUUUUCCGUGGAGCGAAUGUCAAGUUAGGAAACUGACGACAA